AUCUUCUGGAAGCUCUUCAGGAGGAGGUCGUCUGAGAGCACACCCUUCAGCACGUGCACGUAGCCCCCGGAGAAUGUCUGCAAGGGAGUGGCCCGACAGUCUCAAAAGUGCAGACCACUGCUGUACUGUCUGGAGUGCAGUGGUGCAAUCUCGGCUCACUACAACCUCUGCCUCCCAGGUUCAAGCAAUCCUCCUGCCUCAGCCUCCCGAGUAGCUGGGAUUACAGAAGAUCAGGACGGAAGCUCUAGCAUUCAUUCCCCCUGCUGUGUGGUAUUCCACCACGGGGGUGCAACAUCUGUUUCCAGAGCUCUACAGAGGCUGUCCGUGCACUGGGCUGACAGCCAUGGGAUAGCAGAAGGGGUAGCAGGUACAGGUGCACCGCGGCGAGUUCCAGCAGCUCGAAGGCGCGGGCCAGGCCGCGUAGCGCGGGCGCCAGGUCGGCGCGGCCCCACAGCCCGUCGGUGAACAGCGCCAGCGCGUCGUCCUGC